AGAGCAGACAAAAUGUCAGUUAGUACUCAGUGAAGCAAACAGAGAUCUUUGGUUACUCGGCAACAUCUGGUAGAGAGGACGACGUCGCAACCACUUUACCAAUUAGCAAAGGACUCUAGUCAGAAUGGUUUUCCCCAAAGCAGGGUGGUUUGGUUUUAUUCCUCUGGUUUUAUGCUACACUGUGAGCCCGCCAGGAUUCACACCCCUCUAUGAGGACUUGAUGGAUAUCAACUCACCCAGUCUUCAUGAAAGAGAGAAAAGAGAAG